rnacentral:rRNA from 1 species
CGCAUCUGUGCAUGCAGCAUAUCAAUAAGCGGAGGAAAAGAAACUAACAAGGAUUCCCUUAGUAACGGCGAGUGAAGCGGGAAGAGCUCAAAUUUGAAAUCUUCAAGGUUUUACCUUGACGAAUUGUAGUUUAAAGAAGUGUUUUCUGUUGAAGUUUUGGUAAAAGUUCUUUGGAAUAGGACAUCAUAGAGGGUGAGAAUCACGUAUUUGACCAUUAUUUUCAGCUGUGUGAUACACUUUCAAAGAGUCGGAUUGUUUGGGAAUGCAGUCCAAAAUGGGUGGUAAAUUUCAUCUAAAGCUAAAUAUUGGCGAGAGACCGAUAGCGAACAAGUACCGUGAGGGAAAGAUGAAAAGAACUUUGAAAAGAGAGUUAAACAGUACGUGAAAUUGUCAAAAGGGAAGCGUUUGACACCAGUGUUGUUUUCUCGAAAAUCAAUUAAAAAUGAGCUUCGAUUUUGUAUUGCUGUAUGACCUUAAAAGCUGCACUUUACAAUUUUCUUGUCUUUUUUAAUGCACUUUUCGUUUAACAAGUCAACAUCAGUUUCUUUUGUUGUAAAAGGGUCAUUGGAAGGUGGCUUUCUUUUCGGAGAAAGUGUUUAUAGCCUUUGCCUCUGCAAUCGGAAGAGACUGAGGUCUGCAGCGUAGACUCUUCGGGGUUAGAUACAUUUGUGCUAAGUUAUAGCUUUUUAUAGACAACUUGUUGACUAUGAUUAGUCUUGUAGCUUACUCGCUUAUGCUAUUUUACCUACGCUUAGGAUGUUGAAGAUAUGCGCGACACG